rnacentral:rRNA from 1 species
UACGUAGGGUGCAAGCGUUGCCCGGAAUUAUUGGGCGUAAAGGGCUCGUAGGCGGUCCAUCGCGUCGGGAGUGAAAAGCUGGGGCUUAACCCCAGUCCUGCUUCCGAUACGGGUGGACUAGAGGUAGGUAGGGGAGAUCGGAAUUCCUGGUGUAGCGGUGAAAUGCGUAGAUAUCGGGAGGAACACCAGUGGCGAAGGCGACUUCCUGGCCUGUUCUUGACGCUGAGGCGCGAAAGCUAGGGGAGCAAACGGG